UACGUAUGUCGCAAGCGUUAUUCGGAAUCACUGGGCGUAAAGAGUUCGUAGGUGGACUAUCAAGUCAGAAGUGAAAUUUUGGGGCUCAACCCCGAAACUGCUUUUGAAACUGAUAGUCUUGAGUAUGUGAGAGGAAGAUGGAAUUUCUGGUGUAGCGGUGGAAUGCGUAGAUAUCAGAAAGAACACCGGUGGCGAAGGCGGUCUUCUGGCACAAUACUGACACUGAGGAACGAAAGCGUGGGGAGCGAACAGG
rnacentral:rRNA from 1 species